rnacentral:lncRNA from 1 species
CAUCUACCUGUAUCUUAAGGUCGGGGGCGGGUAUGGGGGCGGGAACCUGAAGUCCAGAGAAGGGAAGAGACCUGCACCCGGAAUAUGAUCCAGGUGUCCCUGACUCUGUCCCUUGCUCUUUCAUACACAGGACAGCCAAAAACAAACAAACAAACAAACAGAAAAGGUCCAGACUCUGGUGAAAAACAUGUUUCAGGCCCCUCAGCAAGAGUGGACAAGACAAACAUCUUUACAAGCCCCUCCCUAAAAGGUGCCUUGAACUGUCCAGAAGAGACAAACCGAAGCCCGGCACUGGAAGGGAGGAAAAGAGAGAUGACCCUCUCCCCGCAACAAGGUAUGUUGCUGGCUGUAGCUGGCUGAGGGAGGGCUCCGGGUGUGAGGACACUUGCAGGGGAGUGUGGAGCUUCAUAAGUGCCCCGGACCUCUGUCCCUUGAUGGAAGAGGCAUCCGCACUCUUCCUGCUUGAGCCAAGGAACCCUGCCC